CAUGGAGAAGCAAAUGGCAAGCCACUCCAGCAUUCUUGUCUGGAAAAUCUCAUGGAGAGAGGAAAGAGCCUGGUGGGCUACAGUCCAUCGGGUUGAAAAGAGUUGGACACGACUUUGCGACUAAACAGCAAACAGUAUUUAUUGAGGUACAAUCGAUAUACAAUGAACUGCACAUAUUUAUUGUAUACAAUUUGAUGAAUUGGAUGUAUGCAUGUACCUGUGAGACCAUCACCAAAAUCAAGGUGAGGAAAACUCUCUCAGGCUCCAAGUUAAAAACACAUGCUCCAAUACCACAGGAACUAAGAUGAGUUUUCAACUCUGUCCUCAGUCCCCAAGGAUGGAUUUAUAGUCAAGGU